AAUAGAUACCCCGGUAGUCCACGCCGUAAACGAUGGAUACUAGCUGUUGGGCGCAAGUUCAGUGGCUAAGCGAAAGUGAUAAGUAUCCCACCUGGGGAGUACGAACGCAAGUUUGAAACUCAAAGGAAUUGACGGGGGCCCGCACAAGCGGUGGAGCAUGUGGUUUAAUUCGAUGAUACGCGAGGAACCUUACCAAGGCUUAAAUGCAGACUGACCGAUUUGGAAACAGAUCUUUCGCAAGACAGUUUACAAGGUGCUACAUGGUUGUCGUCAGCUCGUGCCGUGAGGUGUCAGGUUAAGUCCUAUAACGAGCGCAACCCCUGUUGUUAGUUGCCAGCGAGUCAUGUCGGGAACUCUAACAAGACUGCCAGUGCAAACUGUGAGGAAGGUGGGGAUGACGUCAAAUCAUCACGGCCCUUACGCCUUGGGCUACACACGUGCUACAAUGGCCGGUACAGAGAGCAGCCACCUCGCGAGAGGGAGCGAAUCUAUAAAGCCGGUCACAGUUCGGAUCGGAGUCUGC
rnacentral:rRNA from 1 species